AUUCGAAGUACGAUGUCUCUUUCAGAUUAUAAUGUUAUUUCUAUGGCUGUGAUUUUUUUCUCUUCCGUCUAUCUUUUCUAGCUGGUUCUUCCCAGGGGUUCUUUCGCCGAUCUGAUCCUCUUUUCUUGGCUUUUCUUCUUCUGUUUUUUGGCUCCUCCCUCGAGAGCAGAUCUUUUCAUUCACGGUCUGAGAGAGAGCUUCUCCUCUCUCAACACCGUAUAUCAGUCACGAGGGCUUCUCAAGAGAUGGUCUUUGGCUUCUCACCUGGGAUUUCCAUGGAAGCUUUUCUGUCUCUCUUCAUUAGAUCAGGUAAGGUUAUUGUUGUUCAUGUUCUUGAUGAGAAAGCCGGAGCUUAUCACAAUUUGGAAAGUCUCUGGAAAACGGAAACAUCUCCAAAGGAUUCAAUUCAGGUGAUUCAUAGCCCAACGUACCCAUUGAUCGUAAUUUGGAGUAUUUGAGAAGUGCCCCAAAAUCAGCCAAUUUAACGUUAUUUCCCUGAAAAUACACAAAUCAUUAACCACAGUUGUUUCCAAUUGCAACAUGCAUGUUAUGUGAGCGAAUUUUUUCUAAGAACCCUUUCACUUACGUUGUCAAUUAGCACAUUCUCGGGUUUGAGGUCUUGCACGAUGUAUUUUCCUUCCCCAUAGUGAUGGACAUAUUGUAACGCUCCUGCCAGUUGUUGUAGUACUUUCAGACUGUCUUUCCAGUUUAGAUCUGAAAAUGAAAGUUGUGUAUGAGAAACAAAACCACUAGCUAACCAUUUUUUAAGGAAUUUGGUUUAGUAAUAAGUUACCUGGUAUUCUCUCUUUGAGGUUAUGGGGGACGUACUCAAGUACGAGUGCCCCAAACUCCUCCUCGUCUGAAUAACCUAAAAGUUUGACGAUGUUUUCAUGGCUGAAUGUUUUUAAGGCAUCUCUCUCCGUCUGCAUGAAGGAAAAGACGAUUAAUUAGACAUUUGAGGCAAUCUAAAUUUUAGUUAGUUUAGACCAUACCUCAUAUGAUUCCCUCUGCCUUUUGUAUGAUUUAAUUGCAAACAGUCCUUCAUGGACUGUUGCAGUGGUGCCUUCACCAAUUUCCCGGCCAAUAAAGGAUUUUAAUUGCUGUGACGUGUAAUGUACCGGAGCAUAUACUGUGCUUGAGCCUCCUACUGGAGAUUUCGAAACUUUCUUUGGAGCCAUCACCUGCAAAUGAAUCAAUGGUAACAAGAAGAGAAAGAAGGUAGUACAAAUGGCAUUAUUAUUUCAUAUAAGUCAUGAUACAAAUGACAUCCAUCAAUCAGUUUGCAGAAUAAAUGUAAACAAACUAGACAUUUACAGAGAUAAAAAAUUGUGGAGUUCCCUCUUUUCAUUCCUGGAUUGAAGAAAUUCCACCUGAGCUGAAUUCUAUUGUGAUAAGGGAGAUGGGAUAGGAGUUCCUGUUUCCAGGGGUUGUGCAGAAUACUUGGCAGAAGCAGUAGCCAUACUGGGUUUUUUUUUGUUCGUUUUCUUGCUUUGGAUAGAUUUUUACUUUAGCUGUUCUUGUUUUGUUUCCUGUAGCUGCUUUUCGUCUACCCUGUGGGUAGAGAAAGUCA